UUGAGCAAAAAAAGUCAUGCUGACUGUGUGAUGAAAAGGCAGAACUGGCAGGAGUGGCAGGACCUGCAGUCAGCAGCUGUGGGUUUUAUGGGAAGGGCAGACUGAUCUGGAAAAUGGGAAGAGCUGACUGCCAGCAUCACUUCAGGAGGGUACUGUUCAGCACAUCUCUCCACUCCUUGCAUAUCCCCCAUCAUAUGCCGAAGCCGAGGAAAUGAAGCACACUUGUAACAUCACAGGGUAUAAGUAGCAACAGGUGGGUGAUAGUUUGGAGAAGAGAAAGUAAUAUUGCAUGGGAAGAAUCCCAACCAACAACAGACCCAUGUCUAGAACAUGUAUCUCAUGGCUUCCUGAAGUUCAAAAAGCACCUAUGAACUUAACACGGGGGUGUCCAUCAGCAAACUGCAUGGUAUAUGCCACUGCUUAAGCAUAAGUCUCUAAAAUGUUUUAUGUUAUGGGAUUUGGUGGUGAAGAGAAAACAAGAAUUGUAGGAUUCCUGCCAAUAAGAAAUGUGUAGGAGAUAAUGACUAUCAAGAAAUCAUCAAGAAUUGAAUGCAGCAAAUUUUACUAUGCCCAAGGAAUGACAUGAGCAAUACAGACUGUAGAAGUAUAGGAGCGCUCAGUAGAGCCACUCUAUUUCAGGGAAUGAGAAAGUAGCCUGGGACAUUUUAGGCUUCUAGUCUGUCUAUAACCACUCAGAGUAAACUUAUACAUAUCCUCCAGAGGAACUGUUCUUCCCAAACGUUCCCAAGAACAUUUCUGUGAAAACUAAAAUAAAAAGUUUAAUAUGCCAUGAUUUAUUGCUAUUGAGUAUUGUAGAGUCAAAUCUGGAAGCAUUGCAUAGGCUGAGGAAAAGUCUUACUGUGAAACAAAGGAUCACUCUUUCAUAAACGCUGAUGACUCUGGAUCUUUGUACAACUUAUUAAUUAUAUCAAAUCAUCAGGGCACUGUCAACAAUCUGUCAGUAGGUGGUUGGGUCUGCACUGACGGAAUUUCUUUCCUGUGGCAUUACAUACUCAGAAUAUUUUUUAAAGAACAAAAAACAAAUUCAGUUUAAUCAACACUUAAUUGUAUGAGCUAAACAAAUAAAACCCCAUCUUUCAACUUCAAUUCUUAUCUAUCGUUUUCCACAAGCCCAUACUAUUCUUUCUUAAGCUCUGUCACUAAUUAAGUAGUCUAGCAAUAAUAAUACUUAUUAGUAUGUGGCUACUCUGGACUAGGAGUUAGAAAUGCUUUCCCCAGAUCAUUCCAUGUAAUUAUAUUUUUCAUUCUAAUGAAGUAUAAAACCAUGCUGAAUUAUUUAAAAGUAAAACUGAAAAACAGUGUAAGUGGUCUUUUCAUGUGUGACUGUAAUGCAUGAGUAAUGUAUUGACACCAUUGCCACAGUACUCUCUCAACUCCCAAUGACUUUCUUGUCCUCCUUCUCCCUCUUAAAUUCAUGACCUCUUUUUCUUAAUUUUUCUUUUAUUUUUGAGAUUACAAAAUAUUUAUACCAAUUCUUCUUCCCCUUACCUUCCCCCCCCCUUUGUUAGAAAUGCAUCUUUAAGAAUGUAGUCAACAAGCACUAUAAAAGAAACCUGAAUUUCCCAAGUGAAGUUACUAACUCUGAGAAUGGAAAAGUAUCAUACAACAUAUGUGUAUCAAAAUUAACAAAUAUGUAACAAAUAACAUUGAACAAACUCCCACAAAAAAAUAACAAGAAAAAGAAAGUGGAAUGGAAGAUUUAUCUGCCAUUUGGAGUUUGCAGAUGCCAGCAGACCAGAGUUUGCUAUCAGUAGCACUCAUGUCAUGAACUCC
rnacentral:lncRNA from 1 species